AGUUGGGAGCAGUCUGGCUACAACAUCUGCCAUGCCAUUGAUCUCCAGGGCUCAUUCCAUUGAUCUAGCUGACUGGGUAGCUUUCCCCCUUCCUCCCUCACCACUCUGUGUGCUUCUCCUGAAGAUGAACAACCAGUGGAAGAGGACGACCUUCCCCACAGAGGANAACCAGUCUUCAGUUAAGGGCACUCAAGUAGCUGCUUUCCUCNGCUAGAACCUCNCACAAGCUGUCCAGGGGCUCAUGACUUCACCACUACAUUUCUUGGGGUGCACUUAGAAGUGUUUUUCUAACCUACAGAAUAUUAUAU
rnacentral:snRNA from 1 species